AUUGAACGCUGGCGGCAUGCCUUACACAUGCAAGUCGAACGGUAACAGGUCUUCGGAUGCUGACGAGUGGCGAACGGGUGAGUAAUACAUCGGAACGUGCCUAGUAGUGGGGGAUAACUACUCGAAAGAGUGGCUAAUACCGCAUGAGAUCUACGGAUGAAAGCAGGGGAUCGCAAGACCUUGUGCUACUAGAGCGGCCGAUGGCAGAUUAGGUAGUUGGUGGGAUAAAAGCUUACCAAGCCGACGAUCUGUAGCUGGUCUGAGAGGACGAUCAGCCCCACUGGGACUGAUACACGGCCCAGACUCCUACGGGUGGCAGCAGUGGGGAAUUUUGGACAAUGGGCGAAAGCCUGAUCCAGCAAUGCCGCGUGCAGGAUGAAGGCCUUCGGGUUGUAAACUGCUUUUGUACGGAACGAAAAGCCCUGGGUUAAUACCCUGGGGUCAUGACGGUACCGUAAGAAUAAGCACCGGCUAACUACGUGCCAGCAGCCGCCGUAA
rnacentral:rRNA from 1 species